GUUCUAGUCUGGCCUCCUUGGGCUGGGGAGUUUUACACUGAAUGAUGUAAGAUUGUGAGUCACAGGAUACUUCGGGAGACUUUGACACCUUCUAAGAUAUUGCAGCUGCCCCUUAUGUCUGUGCAGCUGAGUCCAUUAUGGCCCAUUAUGGCUCAACA